rnacentral:misc_RNA from 1 species
CGCACAUUGCGCCUAUUGGUAUUCCAAUAGGCAUGCCUGUUCGAGCGUCAUUAAACCUUCAAGCUUUGCUUGGUGUUGGGUGUUGUCCGCUGUUUCUUUCUGCGGACUCGCCUUGAAUGAAUUGGCAGCCAGCAUUUGGUGUGUUGGAGCGCAGCACAUUAUGCGUUCUCGGCCAUAAUAGCGGGCGUCCAGAAAGCUUAUUUUAACGUUUGACCUCGGAUCAGGUAGGGAUACCCGCUGAACUUAA